rnacentral:tRNA from 1 species
GCCCCAAUGGCGGAAUUGGCAGACGCGCGGCGUUCAGGUCGCCGUGGGAUUUUUCCCGUAUAGGUUCGAAUCCUACUUGGGGCA